CAAUUUACAGUAGGAGCACAAUAAGGAGAUCUCAUUAGAAAGCACUCCAUUUCUUUUUCUUCCUUCCUUCUGUGUUACACAGCUGGCUACCACACACACACACACACACACUCCUUUACAACAGCAGCACCCUCAACGCCAGCUCUACCGAAAUUGCAGCCCGACAGCCGGCGAGACCCAGGCUCCGAGCAGCUAGACCCGUGAUACUUUUUCUUUGCCUUCUAAAAGAGACAUGACGCAAGUUCAUUUGGACACGUAGAGGCUGUUGUUUCACUUUGGGCCUCUACCAUCUCAUCACUGCAGCCCCUCAGGAAGGGAAUGGAACAGCAUGGAAUGCCAUCUGCUGAGGUGUUGAUGUGAGGAGCUUGAAGCCUAGCAUUGCUGGAAUUCCCAAGAAGAAACCCAAGAUCUACUGUACAGAGAGGGCCAGCCAGAGACAACGUGUGUGUGGGGGGAGUGUGAUGCAGGGUCACAUGCCCCCCCCUCUGAUUUGCUGCUUCGCUUGUAUUGAGCAUGCUCAGUAACAGUGCUGAAGCCAGCUGCCCUCAUUCUGCUCCCCCCCUUAUCGGCAGGCACGGGCUGUCUGUGCCCAGCAGUCAGUUUCAUAUCUGCAAGCUCCUCAAUCAUCCUUCUCUUUGUAGAAGGGGAACACAAAGCCAGAUGCAGUCAGUAUGAAUAAGGUGUUGAAUUGGUGCUGAAACCUCUACCCACUAUG